ACAAGAUCAUGUGGUGGGGCUUGAUGUAAUUGGCGUGCAUUUGACACUUUGAACACUUUUUUACAUAAUCAAUUGCAUAUUUAAUAAGGGUUGGCCAAUAAUAACCUUCCCUUAAGAUAUUUUGUGCUAACAAUUUUUUCUCCAUAGAAUGCCUAAAACACCCUUGAUGGACUUCAUCUAAAACAUGUUAUUUAGUUCGGACCAAGGCAUUUGAGUAAAGAUUGGUAUGUAUCUCUUUUGUACAACUGAUCAUGUAGAACAGUGUAGGUGAUGCUGCCAUCCUGAGCUUGCUUGCUUCAUUGGGGUCAUUUGGCAAGACUCCUUUUCCAAAUAAUCCCAGAUAGAAGUCAUCCAAGAUACUGCACCUUCUCUAAUCACCAUUACUCUCAGCCCUAUCAAGAGACAUCUUAUGGCGUCUCUGAGCUACCAGCUUUACUGAGGGAUCAAUUUCUGGCACGUCGAAGGAACCCAGACGAAGAAAUUACUAUUUGCGUUAAGGAACUCAUGUAAUUCCAACAUUACUAGAAAAGAAGAGAUUGAUUUGCCAUGUGGUUGUGGCCUUUCCACUCAUCAUCCUUUCUUGUGGCUUUCUUGACAGACGGAGGUGGUGCACAAACUCACUUAACUUUCUGUCUUUAAUGUCCUACUCAAGGGCAUUCUUCAAGUUGAAACAAUCUUCUGUUUGAUUCCCAUGUGCUUUAUGGUAGUCAUAGAAGAAGUUGUGAUUCAAAGUUGGCCGAGGAUUAAUUGCUCGAGCUUUAGGCAAAAUACCUCUUUGAGAAAUUUGUUGAUACAUCUCAUAUAUAGAAGCAUUCAAUGACAUGUAACUAGCAAACUUGCCAACCUUUGGGACUUGGGGUCGCAACACUGGAUUAGACAUCAACCCUUCUACCUUCAAUGGAGGGACAACAUUCUUCCUUUUGGAUGCGACUACCCAACUCACAUCUUUAUACCUCAUAUACUUCAAUGCUACCUGUUAAAUUUCUUCCAGAGAGGUCAAAUAUCGUCUGAAAUCUCCUUCUUGUAAACCGGCAAACAGGCACAAGAUAAUCACCUCAGGAACUCAGGUAUUCACCUCUAGCAAUGCUUUAUUGAAGCAAUCCAUGUAUUCUCAAAUAGUUUCUCUUGGCUUUUAUUCAAUACUAAGGAGGAAAAUCAGGUGUUUUGCUUGUGCCCAUCUUAUGGUAAAAUACGCUAGAAAUUUGAUAGAUAUAUCAGAGAAGCGGAUUAUGGAAUCGAAAGGUAAUUAGUUGAACCAUUUGAUUGCCGAGCCUAAAAGAGUGACAAGAAAAAUGUUGCGACAGAUAGCAUCCUCAACACCCUCCAAGUUCAUUUGAGCUUCGAAAGCUGGAAGUUGUUCUUGUGGAUUCGUAGUGCCAUCAUACUUUAUAUCUGUUGGCUUAUCAAUAUUCUUAAGCAAGCAAACACGCAACAUCCUAGUUGCAAAAGGGGUGCUACUGAUCACCGCAGGCUCUUGGUAAUCAUGACGCCUUUUAUGGCUGCGACAUCUAGAAGAGUUUGAUUUCUCACGUCUUGGUGGAGAGUUUGAAAUUGUUCUAGAUCGUCUUGCAGCCUCUCGGGGUCAUGCCUCCUCCUCCUCCUCCCUAUAGGGUGUGCCUCCUGACUUCUGGCACGCUAGGACCGUAGUGCUCAUGACCUCUGAGCAUCUUGCACCUACCUUUCCAAUUGUUGGAUCUUCUACGCCAUUUCCUGCAUCAUUCUUGCGUUGGCAUAAGCUUGACCAUCUUGUGGCCACACCCCAGCACUCACUCCAUUCAGAUUUACUGGUGGUUACUAACCAUCAUUCCCGAGGUUCCUAGCUUUUCCAUGAGCUUGGCGAGCCCAGGCUCUGGGAUCAUAGUUCUGUCUUGAAUUAUUAUAUUCAUGGUCUGAGUGACAUUAGUGUGUUGGACACUUUGUUGUCAUGCUGCACCAUUAUUUUGUUCAUUUUCCAAAGUUUCGUGACCAAUCCCAUGCAAAUGUGGUGUUUGCAGGGGAACUUGCAGGAUUUCAGCAUCCCCCACAUUCCUUGUAUUCUCCUUAUUUGCAUCAGCAGUAACUCAUGACAUGAAGACUUUGAGGUCCCCACAAAUGAUACGAAAUGUUCAGAUGUUUAAGAACUUAUCAGUAUGGAAUGUUGGAAUUUUAGUUUCUCUAGUA